ACGAGUGGCGGACGGGUGAGUAACACGUGGGUAACCUGCCCUUAAGUGGGGGAUAACAUUUGGAAACAGAUGCUAAUACCGCAUAGAUCCAAGAACCGCAUGGUUCUUGGCUGAAAGAUGGCGUAAGCUAUCGCUUUUGGAUGGACCCGCGGCGUAUUAGCUAGUUGGUGAGGUAAUGGCUCACCAAGGCGAUGAUACGUAGCCGAACUGAGAGGUUGAUCGGCCACAUUGGGACUGAGACACGGCCCAAACUCCUACGGGAGGCAGCAGUAGGGAAUCUUCCACAAUGGACGCAAGUCUGAUGGAGCAACGACCGCGUGAGUGAAGAAGGCUUUCGGGUCGUAAAACUCUGUUGUUGGAGAAGAAUGGUCGGCAGAGUAACUGUUGUCGUCGUGACGGUAUCCAACCAGAAAAGCCACGGCUAACUACGUGCCAGCAGCCGCGGUAAUACGUAGGUGGCAAGCGUUAUCCCGGAUUUAUUGGGCGUAAAGCGAGCGCAGGCGGUUUUUUAAGUCUGAUGUGAAAGCCCUCGGCUUAACCGAGGGAAGCGCAUCGGAAACUGGGAAACUUGAGUGCAGAAGAGGACAGUGGAAACUCCAUGUGUAGCGGUGAAAUGCGUAGAUAUAUGGAAGAACACCAGUGGCGAAGGCGGCUGUCUGGUCUGUAACUGACGCUGAGGCUCGAAAGCAUGGGUAGCGAACAGGAUUAGAUACCCUGGUAGUCCAUGCCGUAAACGAUGAAUGCUAGGUGUUGAGAGGGUUUUCCGCCCCUUCAGUGCCGCAGCUAACGCAUUAAGCAUUCCCGUCUGGGGGAGUACGACCGCAAGGGUUGAAACUCAAAGGAAUUUGACGGGGUGCCCGCACAUGCGGUGGAGCAUGUGGUUUAAUUUCGAAGCAACGCGAAGAACCUUACCAGGUCUUGACAUCUUUUGAUCACCUGAGAGAUCAGGUUUCCCCUUCGGGGGCAAAAUGACAGGUGGUGCAUGGUUGUCGUCAGCUCGUGUCGUGAGAUGUUGGGUUAAGUCCCGCAACGAGCGCAACCCUUAUGACUAGUUGCCAGCAUUUAGUUGGGCACUCUAGUAAGACUGCCGGUGACAAACCGGAGGAAGGUGGGGAUGACGUCAAAUCAUCAUGCCCCUUAUGACCUGGGCUACACACGUGCUACAAUGGAUGGUACAACGAGUUGCGAGACCGCGAGGUCAAGCUAAUCUCUUAAAGCCAUUCUCAGUUCGGACUGUAGGCUGCAACUCGCCUACACGAAGUCGGAAUCGCUAGUAAUCGCGGAUCAGCACGCCGCGGUGAAUACGUUCCCGGGCCUUGUACACACCGCCCGUCACACCAUGAGAGUUUGUAACACCCGAAGCCGGUGGCGUAACCCUUUUAGGGAGCGAGCCGUCUAAGGUGGGACAAAUGAUUAGGGUGAAGUCGUAACAAG
rnacentral:rRNA from 1 species